AGCACCUCGAGUGGUCAGGAGGUUUAUUGGGCCUAAAGCAUCCGUAGCCGGUUGUUUAAGUUUCCGGUUAAAUCUAUACGCUUAACGUAUAGGCUGCCGAAAAUACUGGACAGCUAGGGAGUGGGAGAGGUACACGGUACUCAAUAGGAAGGGGUAAAAUCCUUUGAUCUGUUGAUGACCACCUGUGGCGAAGGCGGUGUACCAGAACACGUUCGACGGUGAGGGAUGAAAGCUGGGGGAGCAAACCG
rnacentral:rRNA from 1 species